UACGUAGGCAGCAAGCGUUGUUCGGAGUUACUGGGCGUAAAGGGUGCGUAGGUGGCUCUAUAAGUAUGGUGUGAAAUCUCCCCGGCUUAACUGGGAGGGUGCGCCGUAGACUGUGGGGCUAGAGUGUGGGAGAGGAAAGUGGAAUUCCUGGUGUAGCGGUGAAAUGCGUAGAUAUCAGGAGGAACACCGGUGGUGUAAAACGGCUUU
rnacentral:rRNA from 1 species